UACAGAGGUGGCAAGCGUUGUUCGGAAUUACUGGGCGUAAAGGGCGCGUAGGUGGCCUUCUUAGUCAGACGUGAAAUCCCUGGGCUUAACCCGGAAAGGUCAGCCGAUACUGCGGGGCUAGAGUGCAGAAGGGGCAACUGGAAUUCUCGGUGUAGCGGUGAAAUGCGUAGAUAUCGAGAGGAACACCUGCGGCGAAGGCGGGUUGCUGGGCUGACACUGACGCUGAGGCGCGAAAGCUAGGGGAGCAAACGGG
rnacentral:rRNA from 1 species